CUAGCCUGCUAAAUAGUACACCGGUAAAUCGUGUUCGUACAGAAUGCAAUGUUAAUUAUGUGCGAUGUUGUCAAUAAUGGCAAUGCAUUAUAAUGUACUGUUGUUGUUGGUGAUAUCUGUGCAUUUUGGCAUGGCUUUCUGACGAACACUAUGCAGGUGAAACUUCUUAGAGGGACAAGUUGAACUUAAAACAGCACGAAAUUGAGCAAUAACAGGUCUGUGAUGCCCUUAGAUGUCCGGGGCCGCACGCGCGCUACAAUGACAGUACCAGUGUGUAUGAUGACCUUGCCUGAAAAGGUUGGGCAAACCGUUCCAUUACUGUCGUGACAGGGAUCGGGGUUUGUAAUUAUCCCCCGUGAACGAGGAAUUCCCAGUAAGUGCAAGUCAUAAGCUUGUGCUGAUUACGUCCCUGCCCUUUGUACACACCGCCCGUCGCUACUACCGAUUGAAUGGUUUGGCAAGGCCCUCAGAUUGGCACCAUUGUAGUAUUUCGUUUCCACAAUUUAGUGGUACGUUUGCUCGACAGGUAUUGAGAAGAGGACCAAACUUGAUCAUUUAGAGGAGGUAAAAGUCGUAACAAGGUUUCCGUAGGUGAACCUGCGGAAGGAUCAUUA
rnacentral:rRNA from 1 species